CUCAUGGAUUCGUGGUAUACCGUU
rnacentral:snRNA from 1 species